AGCUCUCUGCUAAAGGUUACUGAAGUAUAGAGGGUGAAUUCUGCCCAAUGGUUGUACAGUGAAACUGAGGACUAACGUCUAAAGCGAAACCCAACUGAAUGGCCGCGGUAACUCUGACCGUGAUAAUGUAGCACAAUAAAUAGCCAAUUAAUUGUUGGCGGGUAUGAAUGGAACCACGAGGGUCUUACUGUCUCAAGAGGAAAGCCGAUGAAAUUAUAGUUGUAGUGAAGAUACUACAUAAACAUUGUAAGACGAAAAGACCCUAUCGAGCUUUACUGGAUACCGAUAGCGUUAACCUAAAAUGAUCGAUACUAAGUAUCCUAAUUUUGAGUUAAUAAUUUUUGUUGGUAGGACAGUUUAGUUGGGGCGACUACCUUUGAAUAAGAAACGAAGGCGAGCUUAUGGUAUACAAAGCUAAUCUCAUUAGCCUGACAGUGAGGGGGACACCCCUAGCUGGCACAAGGACUACGUCCUAUGUGGGCGAUAAUGACCCGAUAUGAUAGUCCAAAAUAAAUAUCGAAAGCGGAUAAAAGCUACCGUAGGGAUAACAGCGUAAUAUUGUCGGAGAGUUCUUAUCGAGGACAGUGUUUGCGACCUCGAUGUUGAAUUGCGGUGCCCUGGUGCUGUAGAAGGUACCUUAGGUUGGUCUGUUCGACCAUGAAAACCG
rnacentral:rRNA from 2 species